rnacentral:rRNA from 1 species
CCUACGGGAGGCUGCAGUGAGGAAUAUUGGUCAAUGGACGAGAGUCUGAACCAGCCAAGUAGCGUGAAGGAUGACUGCCCUAUGGGUUGUAAACUUCUUUUAUAUGGGAAUAAAAUGUUCCACGUGUGGGAUUUUGUAUGUACCAUAUGAAUAAGGAUCGGCUAACUCCGUGCCAGCAGCCGCGGUAAUACGGAGGAUCCGAGCGUUAUCCGGAUUGAUUGGGUUUAAAGGGAGCGUAGGUGGAUUGUUAAGUCAGUUGUGAAAGUUUGCGGCUCAACCGUAAAAUUGCAGUUGAAACUGGCAGUCUUGAGUACAGUAGAGGUGGGCGGAAUUCGUGGUGUAGCGGUGAAAUGCUUAGAUAUCACGAAGAACUCCGAUUGCGAAGGCAGCUCACUGGACUGCAACUGACACUGAGGCUCGAAAGUGUGGGUAUCAAACAGGAUUAGAUACCCGGGUAGUC